rnacentral:lncRNA from 1 species
AAGUAUAUAAAUUAAAAAGGGAGAAAACAAAAUUGAUGCGGCGUGUAAAUGGUGAAAUAAAUUUAGAAUCACUUACAUAUAAAUUAUUGAGACUGUAUUUGACCUGUUCAGUAUAAUUAAUGUUCCAAUUUAUGAUGAUAGAGGAGCUUUCGAAAUGAUUGUUGAAACAUUAAUUGGGAAGCUUAAGGCCCCGUUUGCAUCGCAGGAUAAGCGGGGAUAACGAAACUAGCUAGCAAAUCCUUCUUGAACCAGCUUGGCUAAUCCAACCAGAUUAACCAAAACUUACUAGACCAGACAUAACCACUGUUUAAACUUAGAGCUUCUGCUUUGGAGAUUUAUAAACUGGUCUGAUAUUUUCAACAUUUGAGAAUAGUAAAAGAUCAAACACUUAACAAGCAACUGAGUU